AUUGGUCAGCAGGUGGUGAGCAAUGGCAUUGUGCAUCUGAUGUUUCAGCACCUGGGCCUCCUGGGACUGGAAACAAAGACUCAGCUGAGAAGAAAUACUCACAUGGAGCAAAGGAUGUUGCCAUGUUGCCAGGGAGAACUGUGAAACCACUAAUCCUAGGAAAGAAGCCAAAAAUCUUGCAGCAUUGGGCCCAUUCUCCAGG